UACGAAGGGGGCUAGCGUUGCUCGGAAUCACUGGGCGUAAAGCGCACGUAGGCGGGUCGUUAAGUCGGGGGUGAAAUCCUGGAGCUCAACUCCAGAACUGCCUUCGAUACUGGCGACCUUGAGUCCGGGAGAGGUGAGUGGAACUCCGAGUGUAGAGGUGAAAUUCGUAGAUAUCGGGUAGAACACCAGUGGCGAAGGCGGCCACCUGGACGGACACUGACGCUGAGACGCGAAAGCGUGGGGAGCAAACAGG
rnacentral:rRNA from 1 species